rnacentral:rRNA from 1 species
GACGAACGCUGGCGGCGUGCUUAACACAUGCAAGUCGAACGGUAAGGCCCUUCGGGGUACACGAGUGGCGAACGGGUGAGUAACACGUGGGUGAUCUGCCCUGCACUUCGGGAUAAGCCUGGGAAACUGGGUCUAAUACCGGAAAGGACUCCUGGCUUCAUGGUUGGGGGUGGAAAGCUUUUGCGGUGUGGGAUGGGCCCGCGGCCUAUCAGCUUGUUGGUGGGGGGAUGGCCUACCAAGGCGACGACGGGUAGCCGGCCUGAGAGGGUGACCGGCCACACUGGGACUGAGGUGCGGCCCAGACUGCUACGGGAGGCAGCAGUGGGGAAUAUUGCACAAUGGGCGCAAGCCUGAUGCAGCGACGCCGCGUGAGGGAUGACGGCCUUCGGGUUGUAAACCUCUUUCAGCACCGACGAAGCGCAAGUGACGGUAGGUGCAGAAGAAGGACCGGCCAACUACGUGCCAGCCGCCGCGGUAA